AACGUGACAUUGUAUUAUCAAAAUAUGUUGUUUAUUAUGCAUGACGAUGUACCAUGUACAAGUCUUAAAUAAAAUUCUGUUCUGUUCUGUUCUGUUCUGUUCUUCAGAUUAAAAAAAUAAAGGGAAACUCUUGUUACGGAAAAGGUGGAACAAACUUUAGUUGCCAAACAUGUCCUGUUUAUCUAGCCCGCUAAAAUCUCUGAAUACAAUAAGGAAAUAUUCUCAACGAUUAUCAUUGUUUUUUUUAUUUGCAGAAACCUAAACGAAUCGAAACAUCGGACAGUAUUGACUACAGUACAGUUUGAAUUACAAGACAGGAAAAAGCAACAAAUUUCAGACGUCCAACAUUCUUCCUGCUCACAUGCUUACAUCUUGUGGCGUCAGAUAAAUAGCCAGUAGCCAAGUAUUGAUGUAGUCGUAGUGGAAUAACUGGGAAACUCUUAAUUUUUUCUUUGAAGAAAUUUAAAUGACAGUAUUGACUGGAGUUUGAAUUACUCAAAGGGAAAAAGACAAAACAGUCAAAAAAAAAAAACAGUCGUCCAUCUUUCAUCCGGCAUAUAUCCAUAGGUGUUGGAUAAAAAGCGAACUUAUGGAGCCGAAAUGAAGUACUUGUGGAAAUUAUUUUUGAAGGGAAAGUUACCAAGAACCAGGCGCAACAGGAUUGUUGAAGGAUACAGAAAAUAACUUACUGUAUUACUACCACCACUUAGAUGUUUGCCGACAUCUGUCAAAAAAUGAAACAUUUCAGGAGCUCUAAAGAAUUGUGAAUUUAACUUAAUCAUAAUGCAUCUGAAUGGACAUAUAUUUGAUAUUUGUUCAGUGGUAUUCAGAUGCAGACGAUGGUGCAGAAUACUGUGAUUGUAAUGCUAAGGACUGCUUCAUGAGUAGUUGAUACAUGAGAUUAUUCCGAAUACAUUUACAGACAUAUGUCAUUUAGUGCAAACAUUUUGUAGUGAGUUACACAGGAUUAUGUCUUCCAUGAUUUAUUUGCAUUAAUAUGCAGAAGAAAAAAACUGAUCAUAAGAUGCAUAGUUUUAUUCAAAAUCAGAGACAUUUUCUUACUGUCACCAAGUUGUUACACUUGAAAUUAUUUUCAUGUUAUUUUUUUUGAAAGCAUCGUUUAUAGACAUAUCUUUGGUACUUUAAAAGACAA
rnacentral:lncRNA from 1 species